CACGCCCUAAACGAUGUCAACUAGGUGUUGGGUGGGUAAAACCAUUUAGUACCGGAGCUAACGCGUGAAGUUGACCGCCUGGGGAGUACGGCCGCAAGGUUAAAACUCAAAGGAAUUGACGGGGACCCGCACAAGCGGUGGAUGAUGUGGAUUAAUUCGAUGCAACGCGAAAAACCUUACCUACCCUUGACAUGUCAGGAAUCCCGGAGAGAUUUGGGAGUGCUCGAAAGAGAACCUGAACACAGGUGC
rnacentral:rRNA from 1 species